UAUUCCUUUCAUUUUCUUAGUCUCCUUCUUUCUCCCAUGUCUCGCGCUCUCUCUAAACUCUCCCCCAAAUCUUUAUUCUCCAAAUCGUUCUAACUCACUAUAACCAAGAUUACUGCUAGCUAGCCUAUUGCCUAGAGCCAAGCUUCGACUGCGACUGCUUGUCACUUUUGGGCGCCUUCUUCCAUCACUCGAGAAAUUCAGCACCGUCAAAGAUCUCUUGAUUCCUCGCGGCCGGGUUGGCUUGGAAGCAAGCUACAUGUCGCCUAUCUCAACCCGUUUCUUAUUAUUAGUAAGAUAGGUUGCCCCUUGCUCUUUGCUCCAGGUUGGGCACUCUAUUGGUUCUUACAUAUUUGUUGGAAUAUCACUUUCUUCCCACAAGUGUGUUAGUUUUGCAUCAAAGAUUGCAGGGGUUUAGGAUCUUGGCAUGUUAGGUCGUGGCCGUGGAGAAGAGAUUGGAACAAAUGUUGAAGAACUCAUGACAAGUGAACUUUUUGGGAAUGUGAAAGAUAUAUGUCUUGUAGGAAUAUUAUCAUGUGAUAGAUAUAUAUGUUUUGUAGAUAUAUUUCUUGUUUAAACUUAAAUUUUAUCUGUAUUAUUGAGUACUUAGAAAUAUUACUUAAAUGUAAUAUAUCUUUUAUAUACAAUGAUAUGAUUAAUGCUUUUAAAUGAUUGA